AACGCAAUUUAUGACCUAACUGGCAGUGAUGUGUACAUGUAUAUAAGGCAAACCCGCUGAUGAUACUUCAUAGUUUGUAGCAUUCACCUUCUUCUUUACCAUUCGGCAAAUAUACACACUUUCAACAAUGAAGGUCCUGAUCGUUGCCGUUAUGUGCGUUGUUGCCCUAGCAACAACCAACGCCACCUUCCAUCCUCCACUGGGUGUUGGAUUUAAUCCAUUUGGCAUUCCUCCAUUGGGGCCUAUAAUCUCUCCAAACGGCUUUCGUUUUCAUCCAUUCGGCUUUGGUCUUCAUCAAUUCGGUCUUAAUAUCCAUCCAUUUGUGGGUUAGGUGUGUAUACAGCUGCUGAUACUGACUCUGCAGCUGACACGACCCUUGCUGCCAUUAUUGUUGUCUCAUCUGGUGCCUGACAUCCAGCAGAUAGUCGCGACGACGUGGCCUUCAGAUCGACAUCAUUCUCAAUAAUUCAACAGACUGUUAAUUCAGAUCGCGUCAAUGAACGAUAUCACCGUUACUGUCAUGAAAGAAGAUCGUGGGAUUGACUAUCAGAGAGACAAUGACCUUGGGACACCACUUUGUAUGGGAUAUGCUCUAUGUUUUGGUUUUAAGUUAUGAUGCACUGUUAAAUCAUUUCACAAACAAAUAAAAUCAUGACUUUCCACAACAA
rnacentral:lncRNA from 1 species